rnacentral:lncRNA from 1 species
AGUCUCUUUCCACGUUGCUUAUUCUUUCUCUCAUCUUCCUCUUUUUACCCAAUGUGCUACCGUUUACUGUUUAUUCAGAAAUCAGUUACGGAGUAUUCAUUAUGUCCCGAGUCUGACAGAGCAAGGAUAGCCAGUACUGUCCAUGGGGACCAGGCCACCUGGGCAGAUGGCAGCAUCGAGAGUGUGGUGUCUACAGAGAAGAGACAGAGAAAUCCAGGCUUCAAAAGACAGAGACUUAUGCAGAGACACCCAUGCAGGGGCUGGACCCAACCCCAUUUCUCCUGAAGCAUGCAUGACUGUACCACCCUGAGAUCCCGCUGGGCUAGAAUAUGAAGAGGCUGCUUGGGGCUCUACCCAGGAUGCUCCAAAACCAUCCAUUAUUCUGCAGAGCCGCAAAUGUCAUCACAUUUUGCUUGGUGCUUUGAACCGGUACAAAACCGGAGGCCGCAUAAAGCCAUUAUCAGCAAUGUCCCAAAGUGCAGGAGACUGGAUUUUUUGAUCUUUGUUUCCCUGAGGCCUUUAAACAAGC